rnacentral:lncRNA from 1 species
GCGCAAGGUCCCGAGUUCAAGUCCUGAUACAAAAAAAAAAAAAGAAUACCAUGAAAAAAUGAAUACCAUGAAAAAACAAAAAAGAAUACCAUGAAUAACAUACUGGAACUUCUCGAAUUCUUUUUUUUUUUUUUUUGGUACCGGGGAUCGAACUCGGGUCCUUAGCUUGUGGGGCAGGCUGUGGAACCAUUAAGCUAAAUCCCCGGCCCCCGAAUUCUUAAAUAAGGUUAAAAAAAAAAUUAAGUGGCCACUUAUAGUGCACAAAUAUUGAAUGUGUUGAUCUGGAAAGCUCACUUGGAGGACAUUUUAAAGAGGAGCCUUUCUCCAAGAGGAUAAUGGAGCAGUACCUAUUAUAAUAGCCCACUGUGCUCUAGCUCUUUCCAUAGUUAAAGAAUUUUUAUAAACAUUAAGUGACUAAUCUUUACAGUAAUUCUGUAGGAGGCAAAUAUUAAUGGUUUCAUUUUUCCAGUGGAGAAUCUAAGUCAAGGAGAGAUUAAGUGAUGUGCCGAAGACCACAGGAAGACAAAGUACUAGAAGGAGGGUUAGGACACACAGGAUUCUGAAGCUCAGUCCUCAUUAUAAAUCACAGAAGUAAGACCAACAUGACUUGGAACAUGCGUGAGCAGUCUCUCCUCUUCGACCAGCUUUCAGAGUGCAGCCAGCUCUGGGAUCAAACCAUGGCCACAGGUGUCUUGGUUAUGGAAGGACUCCCAGGCUCACAAGGCCUGCUCCUUUUGAAGUUCAUCCAGAGAGAGAAAACCACACCCAAAGAAGAGUGCUCCAAUUUAGUCAUGCCCUAAGGAUAAACCUGCUAAAUCUGGGGUAAGGCAGGGUGGGAACAAGAAAUUCAACAACCAGUUAAUGAAAAUACAUUAAAAGGCCUCCUCCUCCUCCUCCACACCCCAUCUUUCAAAUCUUGCCAUUGAGGUUUUUUGUCUG